rnacentral:sRNA from 1 species
UGUCAGCACAAUGGAGGCAGAGCAUGGCACUAUCAAAUUCUCUUAAUGCCUUAGCAAUCGGUGUAGCGUUUGCGUUUGUCGGAGUGAUGCUGUUCAUCUGACAAGCGACUUUGGGGUUUAACACGCACACCCAGUCGUUGAUUAUCAUAAGCCAUUAAAAAAAAGCGCAGGUUUUCGGGACCUGCGCUUU